rnacentral:lncRNA from 1 species
CCCCCCUACCGCUGACUGCUGCUCAGACCUUCCAGUUCUUUCCCUUUGCAUUCCUGGGGGAGGGCCUGAUGGGCCCUGGUGAACCUCAGAGCCAGAGAGAAGGGAGUGGGCGCCUCUGCUGUGUCAGCAUUGGGUCAGGAGGGAUGGGCUCCAAGGAGGAGACUUGGGAAUAUUGGGUCUACGCCAUUCAUUGUGAAUCUGGAGAGCUCUGGUGGCUUCUCCUCCGUCAGGGAGAAUGAGAGUACGGUUAGAGUCACUGCCUCACGGCUUCGAGUCUAGCCCUGGCUUUGUACUGCGCCGAACCCGACGUGGUUCUCUUUUCAUGUUGACUCUCAUUUGGAUUUUCUCCACAGAUAGGGCAGGUAUUGCUUCUUUUCCCAUUUAGAGAUGUUUAGACUGAGGUUCUGAGAAGUUAAAGGAUUUAGCUGAAGUCAUGCAUCUAGAGAGCAAUAGAGCCAGGAUGGCUUGGCCCCCAGGAUCUUGCUCUGUAUCAGGAGAGCCCCUUCGGCCUUCACGUGGCCGGGCCUCUGCCUCCUCGGUUCCUUGUCCCUGCCAUCCCUGAAGAGUCUGCUGUCUUGAGAAACCUGGGAAUGGAAACAGGUCAGCGGGAGAUGACCUGGCCCCUCCCUGAAUCACACCCCAACCUUAAGCAACAGGGAUCCUUUCCCCAGACAAUUUUUGCAGUCCUCCUGUGCUUCUGGGGCUAUUUGUGGAAACUCCCUUCCUCUUCCUGACCAGUGGGUUGGGAUCUACUUUGUCCUAAAGGCCUUUCCAUAAUAUUUUCUACGAAAGUGUGAUUCUGUAGGGUUAGUCCAGUCCUGCUGCAUGUGGGGCCUAUCUCCUUUAGUUCAGUGUUUGGUGGAGGCAGAGAGGCCCGGGCGCCAUCCCUUUCAUGGGAGUAUGCUGCCAAGAAGGAAGCUGGGAUUUCCCAAUAGCUGGAAGAGGCCAUGGAGGAUGGGAGCUGGCUCAGUGCCUUGAAAAUAAAACAGGAUCAAUACAUGUAGAUAGACAUACAGUGGUGAGUGGGUGGAUAAAUACAUGGAAGAGGGUGAAUGAAUGCACAGGUGAGGGGGUGGGGGUUGGGGGCUGGCGGAGGGGGUCAUUAGCCCCUUUUACAGCUGUGUAAAGUGUGAGGGCAGACGCCUGUCCCUGAGGUCCCAGGUGGGACCAGCUUGAAGCAGGUGGCUUUGAGGCUGAGGGCUCAGGGAGGAAGCCCACAUGGGUAGCUGUCGGGACUACCUUCCACCCUCACACCAGCACCUGCAAAGUGUGCUGCUGC